UCAAGUGAACAAGAGCCAACGGCGGAUGCCUUGGCGCCAGAUGCCGAUGAAGGACGUGGGUGGCUGCGAAAAGCCACGGGGAGCUGUCUACCAAGCUUUGAUCCGUGGAUAUCCGAAUGGGGAAACCCGACUGGGGUUAUGCCCAGUCACCCUUGCCUGAAUAUAUAGGGCAGUGGGAGGGCACCGGGGGAACUGAAACAUCUCAGUACCCUGAGGAAUGGAAAGCAAUUGCGACUCUCUUAGUAGCGGCGAGCGAAAAGGGAAGAGCCUAAACCGCAACAGUGGUAUAGCCUGCCGGCGAUGCUGUUGCGGGGUUGUGGGACCUAUCAGACAAGACGGCAGUUUUGUCAGAGAGUUAAAAAAUCAUCAGAUAGUGGAAGCGCUCUGGAAAGGCGUGCCACAGAGGGUAACGGCCCCGUACACGAAAUCUGAAUGAUCUCUCGAUGGUGUUCCCGAGUAACACGGGAUCCGGGAAAGCCCGUGUGAAUCCGCGAGGACCACCUCGUAAGGCUAAGUACAUUCUGGCGACCGAUAGCGUACGAGUACCGUGAGGGAAGGGUGAAAAGUACCCCGGGAGGGGAGUGAAAUAGAACCUGAAACCGUUGGCUUACAAGCAGUCAGAGCGGACUAGUUCCGUGAUGGCGUGCCUUUUGAAGAAUGAGCCUGCGAGUUACCGUUUGUGGCGAGGUUAACCCGAGAGGGGAAGCCGGAGCGAAAGCGAGUCUGAAUAGGGCGUCCAGUCGCAAGCGGUAGACCCGAAGCCGAGUGAUCUAUCCAUGGGCAGGCUGAAGCGAGGGUAAGACCUCGUGGAGGGCCGAACCCACCAAGGUUGAAAACUUGGGGGAUGACCUGUGGUUAGGGGUGAAAGGCCAAUCAAACUCGGUGAUAGCUGGUUCUCCCCGAAAUGCAUUUAGGUGCAGCGUCGUGUGUUUAGUGCCGGAGGUAGAGCACUGGAUGGUCUAGGGGGCCUACAAGCUUACCGAAAUCAGCCAAACUCCGAAUACCGGUACUCCAAAGCACGGCAGUGAGACCAUGGGGGAUAAGCUUCAUGGUCGAAAGGGAAACAGCCCAGAACGCCAGCUAAGGCCCCAAAUUCUGUGCUCAGUGGCAAAGGAUGUGGGCUUGCCCAGACAGCCAGUAGGUUGGCUUAGAAGCAGCCACCCUUUAAAGAGUGCGUAACAGCUCACUGGUCGAGUGGUCCUGCGCCGAUAAUGUAACGGGGCUCAAGCACAGAGCCGAAGCUGCGUCAUACAUCAUUCCUUCGGGAAUGGUGGAUGGGUAGGGGAGCGUCGAUCUCAGCAGAGAAGCAGUCGGGGAACCGUCUGUGGAGCGUGGUCGAGUGCGAAUGCAGGUAUGAGUAGCGAACGAGGGGGGAGGAACCCCUCCGCCGAAUGCCCAAGGGUUCCUGGGGAAGGCUCAUCCGCCCAGGGUUAGUCGGGUGCUAAGGCGAGGCCGACAGGCGUAGUCGAUGCACAACAGGUUGAUAUUCCUGUACCACCAUGUACGCGCCAAAUCCACCGAGAUAGCGAUUCGGGGCUGCUCUUCGGAGCGAACUGGACACGUGGCUCGAACGGAUAGCGAUGGGGUGACGCAGAAGGGUAGGUCUACCGGGCGAUGGUUGUCCCGGAGCAAACAUGUAGGGGGACUGGUAGGUAAAUCCGCCGGUCAUAUACCCCGAGAUGUGACGCCGAACCGCUUUAGGUGAAGUGACUGAUCCCAUACUGUCGAGAAAAACCUCUAGUGAGCUGACAUGGUGCCCGUACCCCAAACCGACUCAGGUGGGCACGUAGAGAAUACGAAGGCGAUCGAGAGAACUCUGGUUAAGGAACUCGGCAAAUUGCCCCCGUAACUUCGGAAGAAGGGGGGCCUCCGUAGGGUGACGGACCUCGCGUCCCGAGCUCGAAGAGGCCGCAGAAACCAGGGCCAAGCGACUGUUUACUAAAAACACAGGAGCGUGCUAAGUCGCAAGACGACGUAUACGCUCUGACGCCUGCCCGGUGCCGGAAGGUUACGUGGAGGGGUUAGCCGCAAGGCAAAGCUCCGAAACUAAGCCCCGGUAAACGGCGGCCGUAACUAUAACGGUCCUAAGGUAGCGAAAUUCCUUGUCGGGUAAGUUCCGACCUGC
rnacentral:rRNA from 1 species